UAUGUAAGCUCAGAUCUUUUAAAUUACGCAACGGAUUUUAAUGCGGUUUUCGCCAAUAGACAGAGUGAUUCCAGAGGAAGUUCAUACGCAUAGUUUAAUAUUGUUUUUUUGUAUAUUUGUUGAA